GCUCUAGUAACGGCGAGUGAAGCAGCAAUAGCUCAAAUUUGAAAUCUGGCGUCUUCGGCGUCCGAGUUGUAAUUUGUAGAGGAUGCUUCUGAGUAGCCACCGACCUAAGUUCCUUGGAACAGGACGUCAUAGAGGGUGAGAAUCCCGUAUGCGGUCGGAAAGGCGCUCUACACGUAGCUCCUUCGACGAGUCGAGUUGUUUGGGAAUGCAGCUCUAAAUGGGAGGUAAAUUUCUUCUAAAGCUAAAUAUUGGCCAGAGACCGAUAGCGCACAAGUAGAGUGAUCGAAAGAUGAAAAGCACUUUGGAAAGAGAGUUAAAAAGCACGUGAAAUUGUUGAAAGGGAAGGGAUUGCAACCAGACUUGCUCGCGGUGUUCCGCCGGUCUUCUGACCGGUCUACUCGCCGCGUUGCAGGCCAGCAUCGUCUGGUGCCGCUGGAUAAGACUCGAGGAAUGUAGCUCCCUCGGGAGUGUUAUAGCCUCUUGUGAUGCAGCGAGCGCCGGGCGAGGUCCGCGCUUCGGCUAGGAUGCUGGCGUAAUGGUCGUAAUCCGCCCGUCUUGAAACACGGACCAAGGAGUCUAACAUCUAUGCGAGUGUUCGGGUGUCAAACCCCUACGCGUAAUGAAAGUGAACGGAGGUGAGAACCGCAAGGUGCAUCAUCGACCGAUCCUGAUGUCUUCGGAUGGAUUUGAGUAUGAGCAUAGCUGUUGGGA
rnacentral:rRNA from 1 species